GAUGAACGCUGGCGGCGUGCCUAAUACAUGCAAGUCGAGCGAACGGACGAGAAGCUUGCUUUUCUGAUGUUAGCGGCGGACGGGUGAGUAACACGUGGAUAACCUACCUAUAAGACUGGGAUAACUUCGGGAAACCGGAGCUAAUACCGGAUAAUAUUUUGAACCGCAUGGUUCAAAAGUGAAAGACGGUCUUGCUGUCACUUAUAGAUGGAUCCGCGCUGCAUUAGCUAGUUGGUAAGGUAACGGCUUACCAAGGCAACGAUGCAUAGCCGACCUGAGAGGGUGAUCGGCCACACUGGAACUGAGACACGGUCCAGACUCCUACGGGAGGCAGCAGUAGGGAAUCUUCCGCAAUGGGCGAAAGCCUGACGGAGCAACGCCGCGUGAGUGAUGAAGGUCUUCGGAUCGUAAAACUCUGUUAUUAGGGAAGAACAUAUGUGUAAGUAACUGUGCACAUCUUGACGGUACCUAAUCAGAAAGCCACGGCUAACUACGUGCCAGCAGCCGCGGUAAUACGUAGGUGGCAAGCGUUAUCCGGAAUUAUUGGGCGUAAAGCGCGCGUAGGCGGUUUUUUAAGUCUGAUGUGAAAGCCCACGGCUCAACCGUGGAGGGUCAUUGGAAACUGGAAAACUUGAGUGCAGAAGAGGAAAGUGGAAUUCCAUAUGUAGCGGUGAAAUGCGCAGAGAUAUGGAGGAACACCAGUGGCGAAGGCGACUUUCUGGUCUGUAACUGACGCUGAUGUGCGAAAGCGUGGGGAUCAAACAGGAUUAGAUACCCUGGUAGUCCACACCGUAAACGAUGAGUGCUAAGUGUUAGGGGGUUUCCGCCCCUUAGUGCUGCAGCUAACGCAUUAAGCACUCCGCCUGGGGAGUACGACCGCAAGGUUGAAACUCAAAGGAAUUGACGGGGACCCGCACAAGCGGUGGAGCAUGCGGUUUAAUUCGAAGCAACGCGAAGAACCUUACCAAAUCUUGACAUCCUUUGACAACUCUAGAGAUAGAGCCUUCCCCUUCGGGGGACAAAGUGACAGGUGGUGCAUGGUUGUCGUCAGCUCGUGUCGUGAGAUGUUGGGUUAAGUCCCGCAACGAGCGCAACCCUUAAGCUUAGUUGCCAUCAUUAAGUUGGGCACUCUAAGUUGACUGCCGGUGACAAACCGGAGGAAGGUGGGGAUGACGUCAAAUCAUCAUGCCCCUUAUGAUUUGGGCUACACACGUGCUACAAUGGACAAUACAAAGGGCAGCGAAACCGCGAGGUCAAGCAAAUCCCAUAAAGUUGUUCUCAGUUCGGAUUGUAGUCUGCAACUCGACUACAUGAAGCUGGAAUCGCUAGUAAUCGUAGAUCAGCAUGCUACGGUGAAUACGUUCCCGGGUCU
rnacentral:rRNA from 1 species